GGAGUCCUCGCUGUUGGUAAGUGGUGUCUGAGGACAGUACGAAGAGUUUGCAGGUCAGUGGGGGCUCUUCGGACUCACGGAGUAGGACCCCUCCCUGCCCCUCUCAGAAGAUACCUUUUCCCACACCAGUGUGCGGCAGAUGAAUUUGCUCUGGAGAAAGCUGCCUGGCCCACCAGCACUACAAUCCCGACUCUUCCAGCCCUGACCCAGCCUGGCAGAUGGCCGGUACUCACCCAGCGGAGUCCCUGGAUGCAGCUGGGGCGCCGGUGCUCGAACACUAGCUGGUAAGAGCAGCAGCGGGGACGGUGCAUUCUCUUCAACACCAUAUUGAGCAGCGUGCCCUCCGGAACCACGUCCGGGAGACCUCCCACCUGCGGUGCCCCCACAGCUGGACUCUCCACCACAGCUGGGCCCACCUGCCAGUGGUUCUCACCUGGCCAGCUGACCUGUGAUGUGGGGAGGAAAGAGGACAGCCAUCGGCCGGAGGAGCUGGACCUCCCCACUACCACCCCUGGCUUAGCGUCCUCUGGACUUGGACUGGUCAUGCGGAGGUGCGGCAACCCUGCCAGGAGCCGGGGGAGGGACAGGAAGACCUGCCCCGGGUCCUGCUGGCUUGGCGCACCUAGGGGUCUCCACUCAACUCACAACGAUGGGGCUCUUCUCAGUUCUGGCUGGAAUUCGGCCCCACCUCACUACCCAUGUCCUGAAGGCAUGUCCACCUUUGUACACACACUAGAUCCCCAGAAGCAGCUUUUCCUCAAAUUCUCCUCCCCGCCACUCUCUCCCACCCAAACUCCCCCACGUGUCGGCUUCCUCUCCCGCCCUUUCCAGCAGCUUUCUUUGGCCCUGACUCCGGCCCACCUUACCUUCAUGUUUCUUCUCCAGCUCACACCGCGGUGCUCGCCCUAGCAAGAGGCUGCAGGAUCCCUGGAGCGGUAUGAGUGUGAGUCCCGAGAUGCAGCGAAGGGCCAGCCCCUAGUCAGACAGGUUGCCUGGAGCAGCAAGAUGCAGGGCUAGGCAGAUAGGGUUUGUCCUGGGUGAAUAGAGGGCUGGGGGUGUGGGGCAGCCCCCACCCCUUCCCAAAGGCUAAGAACUCCAAGCCUCCGCCUCCGUCCCAGAUGUAAGAGCCAGCUGGCACAGGGCGUUCAAGCGAAGCUGCAGCUGGCACUGGUCCGGGCGGGAGCUGUCACACCCCCUGCGCUGCCCGCCCCUUCCCCUCCCCGGACAGGCCGAGGGGGCGGGGAGCAGGCACGAGCUUUACGGUAGGGGUGGGCAUAGGGGAAGGGGCAGAACCAACAGCUGAUGGAGUCCCUACCCGAGACUACGUCAGUGGGUUCAAGCUCCUGUCCCGAAGCCUCAGCGGGUAGGAAGUGCCUUAGGGUAUCUGCCCCUGCAGCUGCCCGGGUGCCGGGUUAGGGGCGGUGAUGGCUGCACCCGCCGCCACGUGGCCAAGAGGAGAAAUGCAAACAAGGAAACUAGGGAAGGGGGAGGGAGUGAGUCAUGGCGGCCCCACCCGGGAGGGAAAUCCGGGCUGGGGCCGCUUCCUGGCCUGGGGCGUCCGGCCUCCCGUUUGGGUUCAGGGUUUCCAGCAGCCCGGGGCUGGAACUGGGCAGCCUUCCCGUGGGGGAAUCUCGUUGCCUGGCUUCCCACCUUUGCCCUCCCAAACGCAUACACUGGCGCGGGUGGGGAAAUUGAGGCUGGCGGGGAGGGACUGCAUUCCAGAUGGAGAGAGAGACAAGUGGUUGGAUUUACUGUGCCGGGACUCGGAUUUGUUGCAGAGUUUCAAAGACAGCCUGGGCUUUGGGGCCAUGCCCCGCCCCCCAAAUGCUCCCCUAUGCCCGGCUAGGUGGUGAAGGCAGAGCACACCUCCUCCCUGGGCCUCUUUGCCCCUUCCGCACAGAUGGCCGGCACUUCGCACUUCGUCUCACUCGCUCCUGCUUCCUAGUGGACAGACUGUGACCAGGGACGGUGAUUUCCGUGGCGCCCGGUGAUUGCUCAGGACAUUGAUGAGGGUCUAGAAGAAGGCACAGGUUCCACCCCAGCGUUUUAAAGCUUUCUAGCCUCCUCUCUUCUUUCCCACUGCCAUUAAGCCAGGAAGCGGGAGAGAGGGCUAAAUCCAGCAUAGCUAAGCCCAUUUCCACCCAGAACUGAGAACUUUAACCAUCAUUUAAAAACUGAAUUUAAAUGUGUGUGUGUCUCAACAGUUUUUCUCUCCCCAAGGGCACGACUGGUUUAACUCCUCAAAUUCUGGUUCCAUCCUAUUGGCAUGAAAUGGAAAGUCUGAGCUUUGAAUGAACAUUUUGAACAAA